CCUCUCUCUGGGGGCAGCCAUUUUCUCUUUCAGAUAAAAUCUCUUGCAUGGGCCCGUGUCUCCUGAGCUAUUCUGGGGUAAGGAGGGUGGCAGCGAGAUACCCUUUCAUUGGUGCCAUGACUCGGAUGAAGUUCUCCCAUUGACUUUGCUCUUCCUCCGGGAAUCUGAGCUGCUUUGGGAACCCUCACUGCCCAAUCCUCCUCCACGGGCUCACCGUCCACUUCCCCGGUCACUUGUCUUCUCACCCAACACUGGCCUUCGAUUUGCUUAUAUUACAGGAUUACCAACCCCUCUUCAAAGAUGAUGAUUCUUAUUAAACCUGGAACACGCCAUUGCCACUUCAGACCAAGGGCUCAACCGAGGACCACCCUCAUCAAUACAAAAAUGAACUUCAUUUACCCUAAUCAGCAGGAAGCAGUUGCUGAAGACUGACCUUUACCCAUUCCCCAAGUCCUCUACCAUUUUUAAACAGAAAAGGGAGGAAUAUAAGAAAAUAGUACUUUAUCCUCCAUUUACCCCAUGGUCCCAAGCACAUAGGCCAGUGAAAAUCAUUCCUGGACUUGUCUGGACUUGCCUCACCUUACCUCUAAACAUUUCGACCCUCCCCCAAGGCAAACAGACCAAACAGUACUUUUCCACUCCACCACUAUAAAAGGCACAAUGCUCUGCACCAUGGGGCUGCUCCCUCUCUCUGGGGGCAGCCAUUUUCUCUUUCAGAUAAUAAAAUCUCUUGCGUGG